rnacentral:tRNA from 1 species
AGGCCUGUAGCUCAAUUGGCAGAGCACCGCUCUCCAAAAGCGGGGGUUCCGUGUUCAAUUCACGGCGGGCCUG